rnacentral:rRNA from 1 species
CUUGGUCAUUUAGAGGAAGUAAAAGUCGUAACAAGGUUUCCGUAGGUGAACCUGCGGAAGGAUCAUUACUGAUUUGGCGGACCGAGCGUCAGCGAGGUUCCGCGAUCACCUGUAUUUAAAACCCACACUUUUGAAUUAUAUGUAUAUUUUUGUAUUUUUGAUAAAAAAAAGAUCACUUUCAACAACGGAUCUCUUGGCUCUCGCAUCGAUGAAGAACGUAGCGAAGUGCGAUAAGUAAUGUGAAUUGCAGAAUUCCGUGAAUCACCGAAUCUUUGAACGCAAAUUGCACUCUCUGGUAUUCCGGAGAGUAUGCCUGUUUGAGGGUCAGUUAAAUAAAAAUCGGUGUUGUUGCUGCCUUGCGUGGUGACGCAUCGGAUUGGGUCGUCUUACCUUCGGUUAAGUGACCUAAAAUUUUGCAUGAUUUUUCGAACGUAUUUAAAUUAUUUACGUACGUUUGUGAUAAUCGAACAUUAGGUGUGGUCAUCUUCAUGAUUCGCGCCUAUGAUUUCUCAUCAAAAUGACCUCAAAUCAGGUAAGAGUACCCGCUGAACUUAAGCAUAUCAAUAAGCGGAGGA